UACUUUACAUAAAUCCCUUCAAAUAGCUUGUUGACAUAAUGAAGACCAAAUAAUAAACGACUGCUAUUGUCGCUUUGUUGUCGUGGACUAUUAAAGUUUACGGACGAAAUAAUGUCUAGUUGUCAUGUUGCAAAAUAUUAAUUCCAUUUCUUAUCGCCGUGUUUUUUAUACCUAUUUGUCCCUUAUUUACACGUAUGUAUUAAUAUCAUUUGAACGAAUGCAUUAAUAUAUGAGUUAUAGAAAAUUGGCGGAUUAUCUUCGAAAAAUAUUUUGACUCAAUUUGAAUCGUGUUACUCAACCCAUUAUAAUAAACGAACCUCAUGAAAUCGUUUACCGCUUCUCCUUAAUCCAUUUGUGUAAUACUGAAUGCUAAGUAAGAGUGGAAAGCUUCCACCAUCCACCAGACCAUUACAAGCACUACAUACGCCAUCUUCAAUAUCGUAUAUUUUCAGUAGUCAACUUGACUAGCUCUUAUUGGCGGUUUUAUUCAAGAGAAGAUUCAUCCGGUGAAAAUUCAAGCAACUAUUACUGCACUAGCAAUUGGAUCGGUAAAUAGGCGAGAUCUGAAAGUUUCGGUAAAGUUUUAGAUUACAUGGCUUAGUUUCACACGCUCUUUAUAUUCUCAACCUUCCGACGCAAAUCACCAGAUUCAAUAAAUGAGUCCUACUCCUACACCUACUCUUAUCACUUGUAAUCCAAAAAAGCUCCAUUUCUUUCUUGCACGCUAAUUCACUAUUAAAUAGAAAUGUAUAUGCAAAACAGCGAGAAAUUUGUAGAUACGUUGAAUGUUGUUGCUUUCACAUUUGCAACUCUUAGUAGUUGUUCAAAACAACAAUGUCGAGCAAAGAUGUUUGCGAUGUUUGAAUGAUUCUUGGAUUGUAUUUGGAUUCCAUCGGUACUAUGGCCUGUUGAUUCGGCACCUUUGUCAUUUUAGCAACUUUUGUUUUCUUUUCUGUGUCGAUGUAGUUCUCUAUACCAUAUUCAUGUUCAUAUUCAUGUUCAUAUUCAUGUUCAUAUCAAUGUCCAUAUCAA